AUUGUUAAUGUAUUACCUCAUGUCUUAUUCAUGGUAACUAAUGCAUUCAUUCAUGUUAGUUAGUCAACACCUAAUAAAGUAUAAAUAAAGUAAAUGUAAUGCUUAAAAAUGUUGUACAUAAUAAAUAAUUAAGGCGUUCUGUUUUAAGUACUGUUAAUUAAUGCACCCCUAUUGUAAAGUGUUACCAUUUGUUCUUUUCUUCAGAAUAGAACUGUGUUUUUUGAGAGUUUGCCUGGGGUGCCUGGGGUUGCUCAAUUCUGGUCCUGGAAAUCAGCCCCUCUGCAGAGUUUAGGUCUAGCUAAGGAUGCACCAAAUAUUUGGCAACCAAAAAUAUUAAACCAAAAAUCUCCAAAACGUUUGUUUUUUGGUGCAUGACUCGUCACACUUUAUAUCCAUUUACUACCUUCACAAACUUUUGCCGUGUUCAGAAACUUUCUGUCUUCCAGUUAUAAUAUAUAAACUGUACAGGGCUAUGAGCAGGUGAGUGAGAACUUACAUAAUUAGCCCUUAUUAGCAUUUCUUUGUUGGCGUAAAGAUUGGCUGCCUUUCUUUUUGUAAAGUUCACUCACUCACAUGUGACUAGGGUAGUGGUCCUGAGAACAUAUAUGAUUAGAAUAGCACUCCUGAGGUAGAUUCAUGAUCAGAAUAGCAGUGCUGAGGAAGAUUCAUAAUCAGAAAAGCACUGCUGAGGAAGAUUAUGAUUAGAAUAGCACUGCUAAGGUACAUUUAUGAUUGGCAUAGCCCUUCUGAGGUAGAUUCAUGAUCAGAAUAGUACUGCUAAGGUAGAUUCAUGAUUGGAAUAGCACUGUGGAGAUCGAAUUUAUGAUUAGAAUAGCACUGCUGAGGUAGAUUAAUGAUUGGAAUAGCACUGCUGAGGUAGAUUCAUGAUCAGAAUAGCACUAUGAGGUGAAUUUAUGAUUAGAAUAGUGCUGCUAAGGUAAAUUUAUAAUUAAAAUAGCACUCCUUUGGUAGAUUCAUGAUUAGAAUAGCACUACUGAGGUACUUUUAUGAUUAGAAUAGCAUUGCUGAGGUAGAUUUAUGAUCAGAAUAGCACUGCUGAGGUAGAUUCAUGAUUAGAAUAGCAUUGCUGAGGUAGAUUCAUGAUUAGAAUAGCAUUGCUGAGGUACGUUUAUGGUUAGAAUUGCAUUGCUGAGGUAAAGUUGUGUUUUGUUGGUUUGUAUUCUGAGAUAUUUAAUAGUUAAUACUGUACAAUUUUACCGUUGUAGUUUAUUUUAAGGUUAUAUUUCAUUUAUUUAGCGGUAAAAAAUAGCAAAAGUAAGUUUCUGAGGCAAGUGUGUUGGAUCUAAACUUUCCAGAUUUGUUUUCCAGGACAUGGAUUGGGUACUUUUAAAAUAACCUACAAUAGAGGGAAAAGCCAGGAAAUACACUUUACAAUGAAAAUGAGUUCAUGGUCUUUGUUUUAUAUCAUUAGAUCAAUAAUUUACGUUAAUUCACAAUAUUAUGUAUUAAUAUAAGAACAUUUAGUAUGAUCCUGCCAUUACAGAUGUUUUAGGCACAUCAGUUAAAUUUAUUGAAGUCUUUAUUCCCAGAAAACAAAAUUACGUAAAAUGUCUUAUUCCUUAAAGAGACUGUGUGGAAGAUAAGGCAUGUUUGGAUUGUGUGUAUAAACUCAGAGGAGCACUUUAUUGUACAGUAAUUGAUAUCUGGAUUUGAUAUCAGACGUUGUUUUAUACUGAAUAAUGUGAAAUAAUGUUGGUUGUAGUUUUACUUUGGUCAUUUUUUAAAUGAGGAGCCUCAUAAACAUCACUGAUGUUUAUUUAGAAUCGUGGAUAUGUUUUUCUAAUUAUAUGAAGAAAUUAACAUUUGUUUUUGAUUUGUUUAUAAAAUAAUUUUGCACUAUUUCUUGUUAUUUUGGAAAAUGUAACAUAUUAAUAAAUGUUUAAAUCAGUA